GUGCCAGCCGCCGCGGUAAUACGUAGGGGGCGAGCGUUGUCCGGAAUUACUGGGCGUAAAGGGCGAGUAGGCGGUUUAAUAAGUCAGAUGUGAAAUACCAGGGCUUAACCCUGGGGCUGCAUUUGAAACUAUUAGACUUGAGUGCAGGAGAGGAAAGUGGAAUUCCCAGUGUAGCGGUGAAAUGCGUAGAUAUUGGGAGGAACACCAGUGGCGAAGGCGACUUUCUGGACUGUAACUGACGCUGAGGCGCGAAAGCGUGGGGAGCAAACAGGAUUAGAUACCCUGGUAGUCCACGCCGUAAACGAUGAGUGCUAGGUGUAGAGGGUAUCGACCCCUUCUGUGCCGGAGUUAACACAAUAAGCACUCCGCCUGGGGAGUACGGUCGCAAGACUGAAACUCAAAGGAAUUGACGGGGGCCCGCACAAGCAGCGGAGCAUGUGGUUUAAUUCGACGCAACGCGAAGAACCUUACCAGGACUUGACAUCCCUCGCUAUCUGCGGAAACGUGGAGUUCCCUUCGGGGACGAGGAGACAGGUGGUGCACGGUUGUCGUCAGCUCGUGUCGUGAGAUGUUGGGUUAAGUCCCGCAACGAGCGCAACCCUUAUCCUUAGUUGCCAGCGUAAAGACGGGCACUCUAGGGAGACUGCCGGUGACAAACCGGAGGAAGGUGGGGAUGACGUCAAAUCAUCAUGCCCCUUAUGUUCUGGGCUACACACGUGCUACAAUGGGCUGUACAGAGGGAAGCGAGACCGCGAGGUGGAGCGAAUCCCAUAAAAACAGCUCUCAGUUCAGAUCGCAGGCUGCAACUCGCCUGCGUGAAGAUGGAGUUGCUAGUAAUCGCCGGUCAGCAUACGGCGGUGAAUGCGUUCCCGGGCCUUGUACACACCGCCCGUCACACCACGAGAGUUGACAACACCCGACGUCGGUGCUGAGCCGCCUAAGGUGGGGUUGAUGAUUGGGGUGAAGUCGUAACAAGGUAACC
rnacentral:rRNA from 1 species